rnacentral:lncRNA from 1 species
UUUCACGUUUCUGUGUUGAUUACUAAUCACCUUAGAUGUUGUUACUAGUGGAUGUAUGGUAGAUGGAUUGAAGCUUUUCUGAUAAUUAUUACACCUUUUACCUUUUUGUGAAAUGGCUAUACGUGGCAUACAUGUAUUUUAGAAAAAUAUUAGGUAUAGAGUUUUGUUUUUUUUUUUUUACACUUUAAGCAUGUGGUGUUGAAGUAUUAC